GAGCAAUUCAAGUAAGGUACAGCCUGCUUGAAACAGGAUACAACCUAAAAAUGUGGGUAAUUAAAUCUUUUUGCCAUAAAGUGGGCCUAAAAGCAGCCACCUUUUGAAUAGCGUCACAGCUUAAUCACACGCAGAUUUAAUAACAAAAAUUUUACCGAACCCCACCUUUCUACCAAGCAAUUCUAUAUUUUUAUAGAACUUUUUAUGUUAAAACUAGUAACAAGAAGAAUUACCUUCUCUUUAAUGCAAGCAUAAAUCAGCCAGGACCAACCACUGAUAAUUAACACCUGUGAGCUAAAAGUAACAACACUUCAAGAAAACCUUACUACAUAUUAUGUUAACCUAACACAAGAGCAUUACAAGAAAGAUUAAAAGAAAAAGAAGGAACUCGGCAAACAUUAACCCCGCCUGUUUACCAAAAACAUCGCCUCUUGACUUUAAUAAGAGGUCCAGCCUGCCCAGUGACUUUGUUCAACGGCCGCGGUAUCCUAACCGUGCGAAGGUAGCGUAAUCACUUGUUCUUUAAAUGAGGACUAGUAUGAAUGGCACCACGAAGGUUAUACUGUCUCCUUUCUCUAAUCAGUGAAACUAAUCUUCCCGUGAAGAAGCGGGAAUAAAUAUAUAAGACGAGAAGACCCUAUGGAGCUUUAAACAAGAAUACAACUGCCCCCUCCAUUAUAAAUUUCAGAAGACAAACCACUAUUUAGGCAUUUUGAUAUUAAGUUUUAGGUUGGGGUGACCACGGAGAAAAAUAUAACCUCCGCAAUGAACGGGGCUUCCCCCCUUAACUAUGAGCUACGACCCUAAGAAUCAACAAAUUGACAUCAAUUGACCCAAUAAAUUUGAUCAAUGAACCAAGUUACCCUAGGGAUAACAGCGCAAUCCACUUCAAGAGCCCCUAUCGACAAGUGGGUUUACGACCUCGAUGUUGGAUCAGGGUAUCCCAGUGGUGCAGCCGCUACUAACGGUUCGUUUGUUCAACGAUUAAAACCCUACGUGAUCUGAGUUCAGACCGGCUAUAU
rnacentral:rRNA from 1 species